UCUCCAUUUUGCUGUGGAAAGCGGCAGUUUUAAAGGAAUGCGACUUAUUACUGAAAAACCUUCCCUGGCCAACCUAAUCAAUCAGAAAGAUGAAAAAGGGAACACUCCAGUCCAUCUAGUGGCUGCUCUUGGCUUUGAAGAUUGUUGUCUUACAGAACACCACCUAGUAGAUAAAAAGGCCGUCAAUAAUAAGAAUUUAACCGCUCUGGACGUGGUGCUAGAAACGAAGCAUAAAAGCAAAUUGCCAUUACCGGUAUACCAACUUGAUUUUAUGCCCAUAUAAUUGGAAGGCAUUGAUUUGUUUUUGUAACAGCACAGUGGAUGAACUUUCUUGUUGCAGGGAUUGACAGCAAGAUUCUUAAAGAACGCUGGAUAUAAACGAGGUCGGCCUGUAAUCCAGCUGAAAUCACCUGAUAGCAAGUCAAUAGUUGACAAUGAGUUAAUCCGUGUAUUCAAGGAAACAAGUAAAUCCCAUCAGAUAGUAGCCACUCUCAUAGCAACAGUAACUUUUGCGGCAGGUUUCACCGUACCUGGCGGUUACGGUAAUAACGAUGGCCCUGACGAAGGAACAGCAAUUUUAACUAGAAGAUCAGCCUUCAAAACUUUCCUUGUAACCGAUACCCUUGCGUUGGCCCUCUCCAUUUCUGUUGUG
rnacentral:misc_RNA from 1 species